GACGAACGCUGGCGGCGUGCUUAACACAUGCAAGUCGAACGCGCCUGUCCUCUGGGUUUCUGGGGGGUGGGUGAGUGGCGAACGGGUGAGUAACACGUGAGUAACCUGCCCCCUUCUUCGGGAUAACGGUCUGAAAGGGCUGCUAAUACCGGGUAUUCACUGGUCUCCGCAUGGGGUCUGGUGGAAAGGUUUUUUUCUGGUGGGGGAUGGGCUCGCGGCCUAUCAGCUUGUUGGUGGGGUGAUGGCCCACCAAGGCUUUGACGGGUAGCCGGCCUGAGAGGGUGACCGGUCACAUUGGGACUGAGAUACGGCCCAGACUCCUACGGGAGGCAGCAGUGGGGAAUAUUGCACAAUGGGCGCAAGCCUGAUGCAGCGACGCCGCGUGAGGGAUGGAGGCCCUCGGGUUGUGAACCUCUUUCGCCCGUGGUCAAGCCGCGACGUGGGUCGUGGUGAGGGUAGUGGGUAAAGAAGCGCCGGCUAACUACGUG
rnacentral:rRNA from 1 species